UUGUUUUUUUUUCACAAAGUUAAAAGGGAUCCAACCAUUGAAUAGUAACAAGAAUAUGGUAAGCAAUAUAAAUAUUUAAUGUUCAUAAAUCAAACUCUUUCAAGCAAUAUACGUACUUAAGAUUUUAAAGGCGUUUGAAUGCCUAUCUAGUGUUAUACCACUUCGAGAAGUUUAUCAAUUUGUAUGAUUAAUAAAAUAAUUUUGAGAUUGAGGUCAAAUUGUUGUACCCAGGUAGUAAAAUUAGGUUAUCUGGGCCGGAUGAUAGUUGUUUGAAGUUGAAACUUAGGUAAGCAAAAGAGAAAGAGAGUGAUGAAGGGAGAAAUUGGGAUUCAUGAAUCUGAAACAAAUGAACACAAUUUGGGCAUUGGUACUUCACUUUCAGCGCCUUCAUUUCUCUGUUCAUUGAAGAAGGGCAGUGGUUCAGGAUUUGAGGUUUUAAGCAGGAAGGAAACAUGUCUUUUUGGGGGAAAGUGAAAGCUUAGAAUCCCAACCAUGGACCGACCACUGUUUUAAAUGAGAAUCAACGAUUUGGGUCACUGAACAAUUAUCAGAAUCAAUCAUUUGCGGGGGUCAAACUAAGAAAAGUAUCCUCAAGGUGUUCGAUGAAAGGCCUGUGAGACAAUCCAAGGGACAACAAUAUCUUGUGCUUGUUAGGAAACUUGUCUGGUGAGCUGGAAAUGUUUCAAAUGGUUAGUCAAAGAUUCCUCGUUCAUCCAAUGAGCAAAAAAAAACGGGAACAGAAAGCAAAGAGAGAGCUACUGAUCAUUUUCAUGCUUACUUCCUUUUCUUUUAUUUUAAUCAAAUAAUCAUUUUCAUCUUUGUUUCUCUGUCAUUAUGUAAGAAAUUAAUGUCAGCCGUUGUCGUGACAUUCAUAAUCGUGUCUUAAUAUAUGAUUUCUUCAAAUUGUAAUAGUUUUCCAUUUUGUUGUCCCUUUUUGUUUUUGCUUUAAAGAGGGCAGUUGCAUGUUGAUAAAAUAGAUUUCAACUAUUUAUAAAGUCUAUUUUGAACUAUUUAA